rnacentral:lncRNA from 1 species
AACAACCAAACCAAUGGAAAGGACAAGGAACUAAACAUAAAACGAGCAUCAAAAUGAAGCAAGAAACGAAUAAACAACCUAACAGAAAAAUCAUAGCAUCCAAAGUGAUCAAGAACAAUAGCCAAAAUAUCCAAAAGAGAGAAGCCAACUGGGCGAGGCCGAGCAUCAGAUGCUGGAAAAUAGCGUGCAGCUGACGAACCAGCAAGAUAGGGUCGGCCCCAGCACGUCCAAACUGGCCUGCCCAGCCCGACACCCCCAACCAAACCAAACCAGCCCCACUUCGCCAAGGGUCAGCCCGAACAACACCAGACCCAGCAGCCGAGCAGCAGCUACUAGCUAGAGGCGAGCCCAAACCAGCAUCUCCGAGCACAUCUAGCAGGUGGCAAGCUCAGCCCCACCACGCCCAACAGAGAAGGUCACCUCGCCCAAUAUCCGAGCAGCAGCUUCUAACAAGUGGCGAGCUCAGCCCCACCUUGCCCAACAAGUAAGCCAAACCGGACAAGUCCCAACCAGCAGAAAGACUAAACAGCCCAAGCAAAGCACCUCACCUCGCUCAAGCCGAGCACUUCACCACCAAACCUACAACCACCCUCUGAAGUUAGGCCUAGUUUGAGCUGCCUUAAGAAAAGCCGGAGAGGAAGAUAAUCUUGAAUUUAUGGCAUUUAUUAUUUCCUUAUCCAGAACCCCCAUAGGCAUCU